GUUACAUUUCAACCUUUCAUUUCAGUUCAGUUCGUUCAGAAAAACUACGCAGAAGAUGUUGAGCAGUCGUACGUUGUUGUUGGCAGCGCUGUUGGUGUCUGCUGCCUGCUGCUUGGUUAGCGCCCAGAGUACAAAUAACAACACAAACUCAACAAAUGGGGGCUUGUUGACGGGAGUCGAAAAUCUGCUCAAAGAACUAACAUCAUCAUUGUCAGAUCUACUUAAAGGUUUAGAAAAAGGCCUCUAACACAUCUACAUACAUCAGAAGCUGCAACGACCCAACAUUGAGAUGGAAUUAACAAUGUACCUUUAUGUCAAAUAAAAUCUUCAAAGAACGAGUAAUUUCUAAUCUCACGUUAAUAUUAAAGAAUGGCCAGAUUCUUCUAGUCAGUUCUUACUCCUCCUCCCUACCGUCCCCUCCAUUCACUCGCCCUCCCAACCUUUUCUUCCUCUCCCUUUCCCCUCCCUCCUUCCACCACCGACCAUCCAGAUCCUUCCGGCCUUCUAAACCUUCCUUGCCUCCCCUUCCCCCCUCUGCGACUUCAUCCCGUCCCGCCAACUUGUUUACCGUGAGUUAGCAGGCCACUUCACUCGUCUGUCGGCCUGCAGCGGUCCUGGUUCUCGUCGCCCCUGUAUCUGGUAAGGCGUAUUUGCAGGCGUGCUCGGCCAUGCCCAUUUGUUUUGCGCUGUUCGCCCUGCGGCCGAAUCUGCGUUGAUUAAUUUUGAUGCUUGGCCACUUGUUUGGCAGCAUGAUUCAGGCCUUCCGCCCUUUUUGAUUCGUCAUCUCGUGUUUUUAUUGGAUUGUUACUACGCCUUACCAGGUACACAGGGGCGACUCUAAAUUAUGAUUUGUCUUUUAUUUUUUUUAAAUGUUAAAUUCUUCUUGACUUUAAGAUCUGUUAUACUUGCUUGUUUUAAUGUUGUGUAAAGCACUCUUUUAUUAUAAAUAACCUUAUACACCUUAUACAAUGUAUGAUGAAUGUGCCGUUUCAGUAUUAACUAAUGUAUUCAGUAUUUUCAGUAUUAACUAAUGUACUAACCAAUGAUGUUGUUCACAUUAUACAAAGGGGUUUCUGCACUA